AGAAAUGGUGUCUAAUACCGCAUGUGCUCUUCGGAGUAAAGCUACGGCGGUUUGGGAACGGCCUGCGUCCGAUUAGCUUGUUGGUGAGGUAAUGGCUCACCAAGGCGACGAUCGGUAGCUGGUCUGAGAGGAUGAUCAGCCAGACUGGGACUGAGAACGGCCCAGACUCCUACGGGAGGCAGCAGUAGGGAAUUUUCCACAAUGGGCGAAAGCCUGAUGGAGCAACGCCGCGUGCAGGAUGAAUGCCUUCGGGUUGUAAACUGCUUUUAUCUGUGACGAAUAUGACGGUAGCAGAUGAAUAAGGAUCGGCUAACUCCGUGCCAGCAGCCGCGGUCAUACGGAGGAUCCGAGCGUUAUCCGGAAUUACUGGGCGUAAAGAGUUGCGUAGGUGGCAUUGUGUGUCGGUAGUGAAAGAGUGUGGCUCAACCAUAUAAACAUUAUCGAAACUGCAAAGCUAGAGGACGAGAGAGGUUAUUGGAAUUCCCAGUGUAGGAGUGAAAUCCGUAGAUAUUGGGAGGAACACCGAUGGCGUAGGCAGAUAACUGGCUCGUUCCUGACACUAAGGCACGAAAGCGUGGGGAGCAAACGGGAUUAGAUACCCCGGUAGUCCACGCCGUA
rnacentral:rRNA from 1 species